ensembl:lncRNA
CACAAAGUGAAGUUAAUUUGAUUAAUCAGGUGUUCUUGGUGUGUGUUUGUCCACGAAUGGUGAUUCAAUUUGAUUGGUCUGUAGGUGGUGAUGUCAUACCCACUGAUCUCUAAUCUCCAAUCGCUCUCUGAUCUUGAAUCAUGCUCCUGAGCACAGCACAAGUUACCAUGGUGAUUUACCCUGGAUAUGAUUUAGGGAAAAUCUGUAUUCUGCUCUGUAGUCGGGGCGUCUGAUCACCAAUGUUAGAUAAAUGAAUCCAGAUAAAAAGAUAACCUGGGUGUGUUGAACCAGCUUCAUGUUUAGGCCUCGAGCUGCUGCAAAACUUCAUGUUACAAGAACUGAGAAGUAAUUCAGUGUUUUUUCUUAGGAGCUGGACCGCGAUCUGCACACUGCAUGACAGAGCUGCAAGAUACGUCAAACCAAAACGAUGACACGUACGCCACCAUCCCCGACCUGCCACAGACUGGAACCCUGCCCGACUCGACAUAUUCCUUGAUUGGUUCCACUUUUCACGCUGGCAGUAAUAAAGGUUUAUUAAAGCAGAAUGACCCCACAUACGCCACCAUCACCUACCUGCCACACACCACAGACAUGAACGAUUCUCCAUAUUCUUUGGUUGGUGAGUCUUUCAAUGAUGGAAAUCAACAAGGUUCAAAGCAGCUGACUGACAGCACGUACGUCUUACUGCAGAAGCCCAAACCACCAAGACCAGUUUAACUUUAUCUGAUGGGCCAGUCAAAAAUAUUGGUUUGUCUCAAUGUUUUACUGUAAAAAUGUAUGUAAUUGUAUUUUUAUAUGUAUAUAAUAUGAAGUUCAUGUAUCCUUCAAUUUUGUACCCCCAUAUAAAAUGCGAUUAUUAAUGAAACUAUUAAUGCAACAUAAGAGAGACGUGUUGUUGAAUCCUGUCGUAAAUCUGUUGGAGCAAAGAUGACUCCAUACAUUCAGUUUCCAUGUAAAAAUCAAUAAAUCAAUAAAAUGAUGUGGGAUAAAUAUAUUUAUAUAUCCCAGUACCCUGAUGUGUGUGUGGGUCCUUCUACAGUUGUAAAUUUGAAUUGUGUGUUUACUUUGUUUUUGUUUGUUAGAUAUUUUAUUCUUUUUUAAACUUUUUUUUUUUUAAAGUUAAAAAAUUUGACAUGUGUGACCACUGUCGGCUCUGGACUCUAGAUCAGAAUUCAGACUUUCAUUUUGUUUUGCCAUUUAGGUUUUCCUAAAUGGAAACUAGGAAUUAUUCCUAAUGGUCUAUUUCAGGAACCAGUGGCUAAAAAAGGCCAAUAAACCGUCUGAAUCCAGCCUCAGGUGUUCUUAACUAAAUCUAACCACGGCCAAUAUAAACAAAAGGCCGUUAUUAAACCAGGACCAGGUCGGGCUGUCCUCAGCUCAUUCUGUUACUCAACCUCGAUGUGCCUGCUUCCUGUCAUUUCACAACAUGUAUCCCUCUGACUGCAUGUCCUCUGUUGGGUUUAUCUAGGCACAAACUCCGCUGGAACACAAGCCCAAACUGCACGACAAAACAAGACAAACAGAGCUCUUUGUCUUUGUGGCUCGCAAGGGAGUCAGCCCAGGUCUUCACCUGUGCUUAGCCAACUUCGACUGAUUCCUUCGCUACAGCCCUUUUUAUUGUCAGCAAGCAAUCAUUCAUGAAUAUGCAAUUACAAAUACACGUGACAGUCUUAAGCAGGCAUAUCUGAACAACAUCAGUGUCUGUGUGUGUGUGUGUUUCCAGCUAUACCAUACAUAGAUAUGCGACCUUUCAAUGAAGUUAAACUGUGUGUAUGAGGCAUGCAG